UACGGGGGGAGCAAGCGUUGUUCGGAUUUACUGGGCGUAAAGGGCGCGUAGGCGGUCAGCACAAGUCAGUUGUGAAAUCUCCGGGCUUAACUCGGAAAGGUCAACUGAUACUGUGCGACUAGAGUGCGGAAGGGGCAACUGGAAUUCUCGGUGUAGCGGUGAAAUGCGUAGAUAUCUGGAGGAACACCGGUGGCGAAGGCGGCAUCCUGGACCGGC
rnacentral:rRNA from 1 species